rnacentral:rRNA from 1 species
UACAGAGGUCUCAAGCGUUGUUCGGAUUCAUUGGGCGUAAAGGGUGUGUAGGUGGCGCGCUAAGUCGGGUGUGAAAUUUCGGAGCUUAACUCCGAAACUGCAUUCGAUACUGGCGUGCUUGAGGACUGGAGAGGAGACUGGAAUUUACGGUGUAGCAGUGAAAUGCGUAGAUAUCGCAAGGAAGACCAGUGGCGAAGGCGGGUCUCUGGACAGUUCCUGACACUGAGACACGAAGGCCAGGGGAGCAAACGGG